rnacentral:rRNA from 1 species
UUUCCAGCCGCCGCGGUAAUACGUAGGGUGCGAGCGUUAAUCGGAAUUACUGGGCGUAAAGCGUGCGCAGGCGGUUCGUUGUGUCUGAUGUGAAAUCCCCGGGCUCAACCCGGGAACUGCAUUGGAAACUGGCGGACUUGAGUGCGGCAGAGGGGGGUGGAAUUCCGCGUGUAGCAGUGAAAUGCGUAGAGAUGCGGAGGAACACCGAUGGCGAAGGCAGCCCCCUGGGCCGACACUGACGCUCAGGCACGAAAGCGUGGGGAGCAAACAGGAUUAGAAACCCCGGUAGUCC